ACGGAAGGCAGCAGUGAGGAAUAUUGGUCAAUGGAGGCAACUCUGAACCAGCCAUCUCGCGUGAAGGAAUACGGCCCUACGGGUCUUAAACUUCUUUUAUAGGGGGAUAAAGUGAGGCAUGUAUGCCUUUUUGUAGGUACCCUAUGAAUAAGCAUCGGCUAACUCCGUGCCAGCAGCCGCGGUAAUACGGAGGAUGCGAGCGUUAUCCGGAUUUAUUGGGUUUAAAGGGUGCGCAGGCGGCACGUUAAGUCAGCGGUGAAAUGUCGGGGCUCAACCCGGGCACUGCCGUUGAAACUGGCGAGCUUGAGUACGGAUGAAGUCGGCGGAAUGUGAUGUGUAGCGGUGAAAUGCUUAGAUAUGUCACAGAACACCGAUCGAGAAGUCAGGUCACGAGCUCGCAACUGACGCUCAGGCACGAAAGCGUGGGGAUCAAACAGGAUUAGAUACCCUGGUA
rnacentral:rRNA from 1 species